GAUGAACGCUAGCGAUAGGCCUAACACAUGCAAGUCGAGGGGCAUCACAUGAAGUAGCAAUACGGAUGGUGGCGACCGGCGCACGGGUGAGUAACACGUAUGCAACCUGCCUUCAACAAGGGGAUAAUCCGUUGAAAGACGGACUAAUACCCUAUAACACAGGGGUCCCGCAUGGGAAUAUUUGUUAAAGGACAACCGGUUGAAGAUGGGCAUGCGUUCCAUUAGCUAGUUGGCGGGGUAAGGCCCACCAAGGCAACGAUGGAUAGGGGAACUGAGAGGUUUAUCCCCCACACUGGUACUGAGACACGGACCAGACUCCUACGGGAGGCAGCAGUGAGGAAUAUUGGUCAAUGGACGCAAGUCUGAACCAGCCACGUCGCGUGAAGGAAGACGGCCCUACGGGUUGUAAACUUCUUUUAUACGGGAAUAAAGUGCCCCACGCGUGGGGUUUUGCAUGUACCGUAUGAAUAAGGAUCGGCUAACUCCGUGCCAGCAGCCGCGGUAAUUACGC
rnacentral:rRNA from 1 species